rnacentral:rRNA from 1 species
UACAGGGGGGGCAAGCGUUGUUCGGAAUUACUGGGCGUAAAGGGCUCGUAGGUGGCCAACUAAGUCAGACGUGAAAUCCCUCAGCUUAACUGGGGAACUGCGUCUGAUACUGGAUGGCUUGAGUUUGGGAGAGGGAUGCGGAAUUCCAGGUGUAGCGGUGAAAUGCGUAGAUAUCUGGAGGAACACCGGUGGCGAAGGCGGCAUCCUGGGCCAACACUGACACUGAGGAGCGAAAGCCAGGGGAGCAAACGGG